UUUUUUUUUUUUUUUUUUUUUGUUUUUGUUUUUUGUGUUUUAGGACCAAGCCAAGGCAUUCAACACCCUUUCCACAUCAUCUUCUCAAUAUAAUUUACGGAAUUUGAAAGUUUUGAAGACCUUUUUCCCAGUGCACUUGCUGACUUAAGUGCUUUCUGUUUGUUUGCUGGACUUAUAUUUGCUUUAUGUUGUGAAACUAAUAAAAUGAGGAUUAAUUUUUCCUACACUGUCAGUGUUGGAUGAGUGACGAUUAUGUAAAAUUUAAAUUUGAAAUUCAAUUUUCAUACACACACAUAUAUAUAUCAUGGAUCUAACGGUGAUAGUGUAUACACUGUUAGUGCACGUGAGAUUUAUUCAUAAUAUAAACUAUUAAAAGCAGUGAAUAAAGAAAGUAGAAUAGAGGCAAGGACAUAGUGAUAAUGUUUUCAAAGGUUAUAAAUGAGGUUUAUAUUCCCUCUCUUUGUAAGCACUACAAGAUUAAAGGUACAUGAACUCUAUUUAAGAUCCAUACAUAAAUUUAAUACUUCAAACAUAUGAAUUAAAUAAUUCUAUAAUGAACUAACGUAACUACAAAAAAAAAUCUUGUAGGAAAAUGAAUAUUCCAAUGUAUAUAUAUCGAGAAGAUAAAUGAACAUUCAUACUCAUCACUUCAUUAAUUGCAUAACACUUUAUGAUAUUUCCCCUCGGAAAAAAAGUAAGAAAGAUGAUAAUCGAAUUAUAUUAACUUUAGUUGGUGUGUUCAUUAAAAGUAUUAUAGAAUUGCAUAACUAGAGUGUUUGAGCAUAUUGGUGAGAAGUGAGAGAUUAAAAAGAGGUUCCCCUUCCCCUUUCAAUAAAAUGUCUGACAAAAACUUACGUAGCCUUAAAUGCACACCCAAAAUUAUUUGCCGAGAAGAUCAGUAGUAUUGCUCCGGAGAGAAAAUCAUGUAGAGUUGUAAUUUGCAUUGCAUCGUAAUACUUCAGUUUUCAAGAAAACAACUUUACAUGUGUUUUCAUUUGUAUUAAUUGUAUGUGAAGAAGCACGGAACUUCCCCGGACCGAGCUGACCUGAUGAGCUCGGCGUGCUGGCGAGAAGAGCGUGUCCUAAGCCUGAAAAGCGAACAAGGAGGUGAUCUGACAGGGGGGCCCCGACAUCGUUCCCGAGGGCACUCCGACGGUCAAGUUAGUUUUCCGGUGAGGGAGAUCCACGGGAAGUAAAAACGGUCGGGAGUAAUUGUCUAAUAGUGAGCGUACCUUGUGCAGUUGAUGUGUGUUACCAUUUAUACCUGCUUGGGAGUUCGACCUCCGUACGUUUCAGGACCUGUCCAAAAUAGCCUCAAUCCCGCACUGAGGGGGAGCAAUCCCGACCUAGGCGGGAUUGUUCUCUGGAGCCCUUGGACCCCUAGCGGCUGGGGGUCACGGGACGGUUCCCGUGAGCCUGAGGGUCUAAGCCCAGCUCAGGCACCCCUAGGCUGCCACGUGUGUGAGCCCAGGACGGGGCCUCUGCAUAAUGCAAGUCGGGUGUACCUCAUUUACUAGUAUCUACCUAUUCUUGAUCAAAGAUUUCAACUAAUUUUGGAUGGAUAAUUUUUUUUUUUUUUUUCGAUAUGGCUGCGGUUUGCUUUUGCAUUUUGAUGCUGAUUUUUUUGGAUAGCCAACCAAAAAAGAGUUAAAUUUCGAAUCCAUACAAGAUUAGCUUUGAGCUUGACCUUUCUUAUAAUUGCUUACUUUUUAUAGUCAAACUUUGGCAAAAUUCUUAUGAAGCCAUAAAAGCAGGCAGACAUGAUGAGCAACUUUGUAAGAUCUUGGGUCGAAAUCGGCAAGGCCCAGGUUUAAGCCCGACGAGAGGCGAAUUCCUAUUUCUGGAGAAGCAAGAAAUAGAAAUCGUCCUGGGCCACAUGUUUAAGAUCAUGUCGGUGCCUAAAGUGUAAGAAUCUACACCUCUGACUAGCACGCAAGCAGGGCCAGCAAACGAAGUUGAGGAAGAGCAGCCCCGAAAGCAGAAGAAAUGUGGGCUGCUCCACCAACAUCUUUCACCCACAAUAAUUCCCUCUCCACCGCCACCCCUGUCGAUGUCAGACUACCACCCCAGAGGUGCCGUGUUUCAUUUGCUUUCUCCCGGUGGCCUGAAAAUUGCUGCCGCGAUACGCAUGUUAACGUAGAGCGCAGGCAGAAUAAUGUUGGUGUUGGGGGCCAGGUCGCCGUCCUCACUGCCUUCAAAUCCAAGGUACAGCAGCAACAAAAACUGAAGCCCCCCUCCUCCUCUUCCUCCUCCUCCUCGCCUGGAGUAAGAGUGAAAGGGCCUAGUAGUAAUAAAAAACAAGGAAACCAGCAAGACAGAGCUGCCAAGCAAGAGGCAAAAAGGGGAGGCGGUGAAGACAGGAGGCAGUUGAGUGGCUCUGAUGUGUUGUGGGCAUUACAAAGAGCCACAGCUGAGAAAGCCAAGAAAUACCAGCAGCAGCGGCAGAAGAGAUACAAUGCAAACCAAGAAGAAGAAGAUGAGAUGAGGAGGGCCGUGGAGGUGGAUGAUGACCGCAGUAAUACUAAUGCUGGGCCUCGCUGGCUGUCCAUCCAAAGUGAUUGGGGGUUUCGGUUGGAAGCUCUGGAGAAGAGACUUGAAGAGCUUUUGCUUAUGGAUGUUUAGCGAAAUUCCAACUACACCUUUUUAGAGUUAUUAUGAGUUUCAGUUUGAGAGGCUCAAUUCCUUUGUGUAUUGUACAAACUCCUUUUAUUCUUCCACGUAAAAUGUAUGGCGUUCUUUCCCGGUUCCGCAUCUCUUCAAUAUCAAAGCUCCGUUCACGGGAAGAAGAAAUAUAUGAAUUCUCAAACGAGAACGACAUUCGUACAACACUUUCUUUUGGGGUUGUUCUAUAGAUCCAACAUCUUUAAACGAUCAGAUAAAAGCAAGAAAUGGAAGAUUAAUGUUUUAAAAGGCAUUCGCAUCCACAUUGUUUCUUCAAAAGAAGAAAUUGUUUUCGACACUCGAGAAGCUUGGGAGGUUGCUUGUACGAAGCCUACACUCUCGCCACACCAUGACCUUCGUUUUUAGUGUUCCCUUUUUUUUCCUUUCUUUGGAUCACAUGAUAGGGGAAAAAAAUAACAAAAAAAAAA
rnacentral:lncRNA from 1 species